rnacentral:hammerhead_ribozyme from 1 species
AUUCAGCUGACGAGCCUCAAAUAAGACGAAAUGCAUAUCCUGUAU